rnacentral:pre_miRNA from 1 species
ACAACAUCCGGACCGCCCGCCUAACAAGCAAAUACAUCUGCUCAGUGGAAGGUCUUCCAUUUGUCGU